UACGAAGGGGGCUAGCGUUGCUCGGGAAUGACUGGGCGUAAAGGGCGCGUAGGCGGAUGGCACAGUCAGAUGUGAAAUUCCCGGGCUUAACCUGGGGGCUGCAUUUGAUACGUGUUGUCUAGAGUGAGGAAGAGGUUGUGGAAUUCCCAGUGUAGAGGUGAAAUUCGUAGAUAUUGGGAAGAACACCGGUGGCGAAGGCGGCGACCUGGUCCUUUUACUGACGC
rnacentral:rRNA from 1 species